ensembl:snoRNA snoRNA:Or-CD14 snoRNA:Orphan C/D box 14
CGCCACAAAAGCAACCAACAAUAUGAUAAUUUCGCAAAGCAGGAGGCGACUGAAGCCAAAACGAGAUGUGGGAAACUUGGCUGCUGCAUUAUUAUAAUUGUGGCUGACAAAUGCGACAAAAACAAAA